rnacentral:rRNA from 1 species
CAACUCGACUACAUGAAGCUGGAAUCGCUAGUAAUCGCGAAUCAGCAUGUCGCGGUGAAUACGUUCCCGGGUCUUGUACACACCGCCCGUCACACCAUGGGAGUCGGUAACGCCCGAAGUCAGUGACCCAACCGAAAGGAGGGAGCUGCCGAAGGCGGGACUGGUAACUGGGGUGAAGUCGUAACAAGGUAGC